UGGGGGAUAUUGCACAAUGGGGGGAACCCUGAUGCAGCGACGCCACGUGGGUGAAGGAGCGUUUCGGCGCGUAAAGCCCUAUCGGCAGGGAAGAAGGAGGACGGUACCUGACUAAGAAGCCCCGGCUAACUACGUGCC
rnacentral:rRNA from 1 species